rnacentral:lncRNA from 8 species
AUGCUGCUCUGUUCUCUCUCUCCUCUUCUCUCCCAAUGCUGCUCUGUUCUCUGUCUCCUCUUCUCUCCUAAUACUGCUCUGUACUGUUCUCUGUCUCCUCUUCUCUCCCAAUACUGCUCUGUUCUCUGUCUCCUCUUCUCUCCCAUGCUGCUCUGUUCUUUGUUCUCUGUCUCCUCUUCUCUCCCAAUGCUGCUCUGUUUUCUGUUCUCUGUCUCCUCUUCUCUCCCAAUGCUGCUCUGUUUUCUGUUCUCUGUCUCCUCUUCUCUCCCAAUACUGCUCUGUUCUCUGUCUCCUCUUCUCUCCCAAUACUGCUCUGUUCUCUGUCUCCUCUUCUCUCCCAAUGCUGCUCUGUUCUCUGUUCUCUCUCUUCCCUUCUCUCCCAAUGCUGCUCUGUUCUCUCUCUCUUCUUCUCUCCCAAUGCUGCUCUGUUCUCUCUCUCCUCUUCUCUCCCAAUGCUGCUCUGUUCUCUGUCUCCUCUUCUCUCCCAAUGCUGCUCUGUUCUCUGUCUCCUCUUCUCUCCCAAUGUUGCUCUGUUCUCUCUCUCCUCUUCUCUCCCAAUGCUGCUCUGUUCUCUGUUCUCUGUCUCCUCUUCUCUCCCAAUGCUGCUCUGUUCUCUGUCUCCUCUUCUCUCCCAAUGCUGCUCUGUUCUCUCUCUCCUCUUCUCUCCCAAUGCUGCUCUGUUCUCUGUCUCCUCUUCUCUCCCAAUACUGCUCUGUUCUCUGUCUCCUCUUCUCUCCUAAUACUGCUCUGUUCUCUGUAUCCUCUUCUCUCCCAAUACUGCUCUGUUCUCUGUCUCCUCUUCUCUCCCAAUACUGCUCUGUUCUCUGUCUCCUCUUCUCUCCUAAUACUGCUCUGUACUCUGUUCUCUGUCUCCUCUUCUCUCCCAAUACUGCUCUGUUCUCUGUCUCCUCUUCUCUCCUAAUACUGCUCUGUUCUCUGUUCUCUGUCUCCUCUUCUCUCCCAAUACUGCUCUGUUCUCUGUCUCCUCUUCUCUCCCAAUACUGCUCUGUUCUCUGUCUCCUCUUCUCUCCCAAUACUGCUCUGUUCUCUAUCUCCUCUUCUCUCCUAAUACUGCUCUGUUCUCUGUUCUCUGUCUCCUCUUCUCUCCUAAUACUGCUCUGUUCUCUGUCUCCUCUUCUCUCCUAA